rnacentral:rRNA from 1 species
GACGAACGCUGGCGGCGUGCUUAACACAUGCAAGUCGAACGGAAAGGCCCUGCUUUUGUGGGGUGCUCGAGUGGCGAACGGGUGAGUAACACGUGAGUAACCUGCCCUUGACUUUGGGAUAACUUCAGGAAACUGGGGCUAAUACCGGAUAGGAGCUCCUGCUGCAUGGUGGGGGUUGGAAAGUUUCGGCGGUUGGGGAUGGACUCGCGGCUUAUCAGCUUGUUGGUGGGGUAGUGGCUUACCAAGGCUUUGACGGGUAGCCGGCCUGAGAGGGUGACCGGCCACAUUGGGACUGCGAUACGGCCCAGACUCCUACGGGAGGCAGCAGUGGGGAAUAUUGCACAAUAGGCGGAAGCCUGAUGCAGCAACGCCGCGUGCGGGAUGACGGCCUUCGGGUUGUAAACCGCUUUCGCCUGUGACGAAGCGUGAGUGACGGUAAUGGGUAAAGAAGCACCGGCUAACUACGUG